UCAAAAAUUAUUUUAUGGCAGGUAAUUUUCGUUGUUGAUGCCAGUGGCAGUAUGACAUUAAACCGUAUGCAAAAUGCUAAAGGUGCAGCAUUGAAACUAUUGGCAGAAAGCUAUACUAGAAGAGAUCAGGAGAAAUAUUGAGGUCUCUAUGGUGAUUUCGGAUUCUAACCCUUGCUAUGAAGACGCACAUAUGAGGCUUGCUGCAGUACUCUUAAUGUUGUUAUUGAGUCCAACUGAGUGUUAUGUUUGUUUCCUGGUCUUUUCUUUCUGUCAUGAUCCUGUUCAUGCCUGAACAUUUGAAAGAUGGGAAAUAAGUGGACUAUGGUUGUGCUACUAUUUUGUUUAUAGACGAAGUUACUACUCUUCUAGUUUAUCGAGUAAUUAAGUAGAUUGUCCUUACUAAUCGUGAUUGUGUUGCUGAUAGUUAUGAUGACAUUUAUAUCAAGUUAUUGAUCUUAUACAGAUCCUUACAUACCUUGUGUUUUC